rnacentral:rRNA from 1 species
GACGAACGCUGGUGGCGUGCCUAAUACAUGCAAGUUGAGCGCUGAAGGUUGGUACUUGUACCAACUGGAUGAGCAGCGAACGGGUGAGUAACGCGUGGGGAAUCUGCCUUUGAGCGGGGGACAACAUUUGGAAACGAAUGCUAAUACCGCAUAAAAACUUUAAACACAAGUUUUAAGUUUGAAAGAUGCAAUUGCAUCACUCAAAGAUGAUCCCGCGUUGUAUUAGCUAGUUGGUGAGGUAAAGGCUCACCAAGGCGAUGAUACAUAGCCGACCUGAGAGGGUGAUCGGCCACAUUGGGACUGAGACACAGCCCAAACUCCAACGGGAGGCAGCAGUAGGGAAUAUUCGGAAAUGGACGAAAGUCUGACCGAGCAACGCCGCGUGAGUGAAGAAGGUUUUCGGAUCGGAAAGCUCUGUUGGUAGAGAAGAACGUUGGUGAGAGUGGAAAGCUCAUCAAGUGACGGUAACUACCCAGAAAGGGACGGCUAACUACGUG